rnacentral:rRNA from 1 species
AUUGAACGCUGGCGGCAUUCUUUGCACAUGCAAGUCGAACGUGAACAGGCCUUGUGGUGCUUAGGAGUGGCGAAGGGUUGAGUAAGUCAUCCGAACGUAUCCAGAGGUGGUGGAUAACGCAGCUAAAGCUGUGCUAGUAUCGCAUGUGAUCGGAAUAGGAGAGCGGGUGACGGUGCAGCAAUGUUUGGCGUCGCGCCUUUUGAGGUGCCGAUGUGUGAUUAGCGAGUUGUUGGGGUAACGGCCUCCCAAGGCCACGAUCCGUCGCUGUACUGAGAGGACGACCCGCCACCCUGUGACUGAGACACGGCCGAGACUCCUACGGGAGGCAGCAGUGGGGAACUUCGGCCACUGCGCGCAAGCCUGAUCCAGCACUGCCGCGUGCGGCCAGAAGGCCUUCGGGUUGUAAACCGCUUUUGGCAGGACCGAAACGGUGUCGGCUAGUACCGCGCGCUACUGCCGCUACCUGCAGAAUGAGCACCGGCUAACUACGUG